rnacentral:tRNA from 1 species
GCGGCCGUAGUCUAGCCUGGCAGGAUGGGGGCCUGCCACGCCCCAGUGAGGUGGUCGACCUCGGGGAGACCCGGGUUCGAAUCCCGGCGGCCGCACCA